ACCCACAUCCCAGAUCCCACCCCUCUCGUUUCUCUCUGAAAAAGUGAAAAUUGGAGAACCCUAGUCCCCAAACAGCCAAACUCUUCUCAUCCGAACUUCAAACGUAGCUCGCAGCCACCAUUUCUCUUCGAAGUCAUCGCCACUCUUCUCUUCCGAGGACAGACGGUGGGUGCGGCGUCGCGUGUGGAACGCUGAAGGCUCUGUUCGGUGGAAGUUCGAACGCAGCUCGCAGCCACCAUCGUUUUCUCAUCGUUCCUCCUUUCGCCGCCGUCGUAAGAAGGUCUCCUACUCUCCUCUCCUCUCAUCGUUCUCGGUCGUCGUUUCCUCUAUUCGAGCUCUUUCUGUCUUUGCCGACAGUUCCCACUCCGCCGCCCCCUCACUUCCCUUCCUCCCUCGCUGCCAUGGAUAGGGUAAGUUUCUAAACCCAAUAAGAAAGCAGUUAAUAAAGCAUUGUUAGGUUCAAAAGAAGCUAUGCUUGGGAUUAGAUGAGGCUGCAGGUGUUCCUAUUGAACCAGAAUCACAAACAAAACUUUUAGAUGCUACCCUGAACUUGGAAGGAGUGUUGUUGGCUAGAGUUCCAGGAGCAGGAGAAUUUGAUGCGGUCUUUGCUGUUACUUUGGGAGAUUCAAGAAGCCAUGUGACAAAAAUAUGGAGCUUACUGAAUGUUAUUUAAUAUUUGAAAAUAUUAAAUUUAAAUAUUUGAAGUUAUAUGUUAAAUUUUUAAUAGUUUUAUUUAAUAUUUAACUAAAUCGGUUGAA